rnacentral:rRNA from 1 species
UCAAGAUACAAAGAGCGCAGGGUGGAUGCCUUGGCACUAAGAGCCGAAGAAAGACGUGAUAAGCUGCGAUAAGCUGCGGCAAGGAGCAAAUAUCCGAUGACCCGCAGAUUUCUGAAUGGGGAAACCCGGCAGGAAAGACUCCUGUCAUCCAUACGCCAAUCCAUAACGUAUGGAAGGGAACCCGGUGAACUGAAACAUCUAAGUAGCCGGAGGAAGAGAAAGAAACAUCGAUUUCCAGAGUAGCGGCGAGCGAAACGGAAAGAGCCCAAACCGUGGUGCGUGCACCGCGGGGUAAGGACCGUCAGAAGUGACUGGGAAGGUAGCAGAAUGGCUUUGGGAAAGCCAGCCGGAGAGGGUGAAAGCCCCGUAAGCGAAACCGGAACAGAGCGGACGGAAUCCGGAGUACCACGAGACACGAGAAACCUUGUGGGAAGGAAGGGGGACCACCCCCUAAGGCUAAAUACUACUUAGUGACCGAUAGCGCAUAGUACUGUGAAGGAAAGGUGAAAAGAACCCCGGGAGGGGAGUGAAAGAGAACCUGAAACCCUGUGUUUACAAACUGUGGAACCACGUUUAAGGUGGAACCGCGUACUUUUUGUAGAACGGUCCGGCGAGUUGCACUGUCCGGCAAGGUUAAGCAUGAAACAUGCGGAGCCGGAGGGAUACCAAGUCUGAAGAGGGCGUAAAGUCAGACAGUGCAGACCCGAAACCGGGUGAUCUAUCCAUGUCCAGGUUGAAGCUGCUGUAAAAGGCGGUGGAGGACCGAACCCACAUCCGUUGAAAAGGGUGGGGAUGAGGUGUGGAUAGGGGAGAAAUUCCAAUCGAACCCGGAGAUAGCUGGUUCUCCUCGAAAUAGCUUUAGGGCUAGCCUCGCAUUAGUCACACGCAGGUAGAGCACUGAAUUCCUAAGGGGGCGUCAAAGCUUACCAAGGGAUAUCAAACUCCGAAUGGCGUGAUGAUGAUGUGCGGGAGUCAGACUGCACGAGAUAAGUUGGGCAGUCAAAAGGGAAAGAGCCCAGACCUCCAGCUAAGGUCCCAAAGUGCAUGUUAAGUGGGAAAGGAUGUGGGAUUUCGAAGACAACCAGGAUGUUGGCUCAGAAGCAGCCAUACAUUCAAAGAGUGCGUAAUAGCUCACUGGUCGAGAGGUCCUGCGCCGAAAAUGUACCGGGGCUGAAACAUGACACCGAAGCUGAGGAACCGAAAGGUUGGUAGAGGAGCAUUCGUAAAGGGAAGAAGCUGUACCGGAAGGAGCAGUGGACGUUUACGAAGAGAGAAUGCCGGAAUGAGUAGCGAGAUGGAGGUGGGAAUCCUCCAGGCCGAAUAUCCAAGGUUUCCAGGGUAAAGCUGAUCUGCCCUGGGUAAGUCGGGGCCUAAGGCGAGGUCGAAGGACGUAGCCGAUGGACAACAGGUUGAAAUUCCUGUACUGCAUGAUGACAGAACUGUGGGGACACGGGCAGAAAGCCUGGGCCGGAAAUGGAAAAGCCGGUGCAAGCGGAGGAGCCGUGUAGGAGGAAAAACCCCUAUGCAAGGCAGAGCCGUGACGCGGAGCGAAAUAAAAGUAGCGAAGCAGGCGGGCUGGCCGUCAAGAAAAGCCGCUAUUGUUCAUCAUGUACCCGUACCGCAAACCGACACAGGUGGAUGAGGAGAGAAUCCUAAGGCCGGCGGAAGAAGUAUUGUUAAGGAACUCGGCAAAAUGACCCCGUAACUUCGGGAGAAGGGGUGCCAGGGAAACCUGGCCGCAGAGAACUGGUCCAAGCAACUGUUUAACAAAAACACAGGUUUAUGCAAAACCGCAAGGUGAAGUAUAUGAGCUGACGCCUGCCCGGUGCUGGAAGGUUAAGAGGAGAGGUUAGCGCAAGCGAAGCUUUGAAUCCAAGCCCCAGUAAACGGCGGCCGUAACUAUAACGGUCCUAAGGUAGCGAAAUUCCUUGUCGGGUAAGUUCCGACCCGCACGAAAGGCGUAAUGAUUUGGGCGCUGUCUCGACAAUACAUCCGGUGAAAUUGAAGUACCAGUGAAGAUGCUGGUUACCCGCGCCAGGACGGAAAGACCCCAUGGAGCUUUACUCCAGUUUGAUACUGGGAUUCGGUGCUGCAUGUACAGGAUAGGUGGGAGGCUGAGAAUUAAGGACGCCAGUCUUUAAGGAGCCGGUGUUGGGAUACCACCCCUGCAGUAUUGGAUUUCUAACCUGCGGCCGUAAGCCGGCCGGGGGACAAUGUCAGACGGGGAGUUUGACUGGGGCGGUCGCCUCCGAAAGGGUAUCGGAGGCGCUCAAAGGUUCCCUCAGGAUGGUUGGAAACCAUUCGAAGAGUGCAAAGGCAGAAGGGAGCUUGACUGCGACACCGACGGGUGGAGCAGGUACGAAAGUAGGACUUAGUGAUCCGGUGGUAUAAAGUGGGAUUGCCAUCGCUCAACGGAUAAAAGCUACCCUGGGGAUAACAGGCUUAUCACUCCCAAGAGUUCACAUCGACGGAGUGGUUUGGCACCUCGAUGUCGGCUCAUCGCAUCCUGGGGCUGUAGUAGGUCCCAAGGGUUGGGCUGUUCGCCCAUUAAAGCGGUACGCGAGCUGGGUUCAGAACGUCGUGAGACAGUUCGGUCCCUAUCCGGCGUGGGCGCAGGAUAUCUGAGAGGAGCUGUCCUUAGUACGAGAGGACCGGGAUGGACUGACCGCUGGUGUACCUGUUGGAGACCAACUCCAUGGCAGGGUAGCCAAGUCGGGCCGGGAUAAACGCUGAAGGCAUCUAAGCGUGAAGCCCCCCUCAAGAUGGGAUAUCCCAUAGCAGAAGCUAGUAAGACCCCUUGAAGACGACGAGGUUGAUAGGUCAGAGGUGGAAGUACGGUAACGUAUGGAGCUGACUGAUACUAAUAGGUCGAGGGCUUGACCAG